rnacentral:tRNA from 1 species
GUGGCUCAGUGGUUAAGAGCACUGGCUGUGCUUCCAGAGGCCCUGGGUUCAUUUCCCAGC